rnacentral:rRNA from 1 species
UACGUAGGGUGCGAGCGUUUAAUCGGAAUUACUGGGCGUAAAGCGUGCGCAGGCGGUGAUGUAAGACCGAUGUGAAAUCCCCGGGCUUAACCUGGGAACUGCAUUGGUGACUGCAUCGCUCGAGUAUGGCAGAGGGGGGUAGAAUUCCACGUGUAGCAGUGAAAUGCGUAGAGACGUGGAGGAAUACCGAUGGCGAAGGCAGCCCCCUGGGUCAAUACUGACGCUCAUGCACGAAAGCGUGGGGGAGCAAACAGG